GUACACGCUGUGACUAGCAUAUCAAUAAGCGGAGGAAAAGAAACUAACAAGGAUUCCCCUAGUAACGGCGAGUGAAGCGGGAAGAGCUCAAAUUUGAAAUCUUAAAGGGUUUCCCUUUACGAAUUGUAGUUUAAAGAAGUGUUUUCUGUUGAGGUUUUGGUAAAAGUUCUUUGGAAUAGGACAUCAUAGAGGGUGAAAAUCCCGUAUUUGACCUUUACUUUCAACUUUGUGAUACACUUUCAAAGAGUCGGAUUGUUUGGGAAUGCAGUCCAAAAUGGGUGGUAAAUUUCAUCUAAAGCUAAAUAUUGGCGAGAGACCGAUAGCGAACAAGUACCGUGAGGGAAAGAUGAAAAGAACUUUGAAAGAGAGUUAAACAGUACGUGAAAUUGUCAAAAGGGAAGCGUUUGACACCAGUGUUGUUUUUCUGAAAAUCAAUUAAAGAACUGUUUAUGCUAAGUUGUUUAGACUUUAUCAGCUAACUGUUUAGUUUUGAGCUUUUCUUUAAUGCACUUUUCAGUUAACAAGUCAACAUCAAUUUCUUUUGCUGUAAAAAAGCUUGAGGAAGGUGGCUUGAGAUUCGUCUUAAGUGUUUAUAGCCACUUGCCUAUGCAGUCGGAGAGAUUGAGGUCUGCAGCGUAGAUCCUUCGGGGCUAAAUGCAUUUGUGCUAAGUUAUAGCAUUUAUAGACAAUUUGUUGACUAUGAUUUGUCUUGUAGCUUACUCGCUUAUGUUAUUUUACCUACGCUUAGGAUGUUGACAGCAGUAUAGACUGU
rnacentral:rRNA from 1 species